GGGAUAGAAAAGCAGGAAACAAUUUCACAACCAAUCACUUACACAAACCAACGGAGUUACAGACGAAGGCCUACAGCCAGAGGUCUACAAAAGACCGACUCUUAAAAAUGAACUGUCCUACAACCUACAAGUCGGACACGCUCUCCAAUCCUUAUGACUUCACCUCUGCAAUUCCUCAAGGCGAACCAAAGCUAUCUGGCCGCUCCGUCCACCAGGGACCUGAAAUGGUUAUUCAAUAACCACUGAGACAACGUCUCAGCAAGUUCAACCCCCUAAACCCCUAUUAGAAAGAAAAUACGCCCAAUGGUGGCCUAACCACAUCACACAGAGAACUUACCUCGCCUCAAUUCCUUCCUGCAGGUUAGCACAAUUUGUAUCACACAAUCUCAGGUAGUAAUAAUAAUUCAAACAAUUGGAACACCAUCACUUUCAUAUAAAUCACGAUCGCACUUAGCACGCAUUCCAAUUAUUAUUCACUGCCACACAAGGGCAUAGCCUACUCGCAGGUCGGCUAUCUACUAACAUUACAGCAUUUCUAGAAGAAUAAAGGUCCAGUCGGUCCCGCCACUACUGCGACCAAGCCACGUCGUUUUAUCGACAGCAUUUCUAGAAAAAUAAAGGUCCAGUCGGUCCCGCCGCUACUACGACCAAGCCACGUCGUUCUAUCGACAGCAUUUCUAGAAAAAUAAAGGUCCAGUCAGUCUUGCCACUACUGCGACCAAGUCACGUCAUUCUAUCGACGGCAUUUCUAGAAAAAUAAAGGUCCAGUCAAUCUCGCCACUACUGCGACCAAGCCAUGUCGUUCUAUCGACAGCAUUUCUAGAAAAAUAAAGGUCCAGUCGGUCUUGCCACUAAUGCAACCAAGCCACGUCAUUCUAUCGACGGCAUUUCUAGAAAAAUAAAGGUCCAGUCGGUCUCGCUACUACUGCGACCAAGCCACGUCGUUCUAUUGAUAGCAUUUCUACAAAAAUAAAGGUCCAGUCGGUCUCGCCACUACUGCAACCAAGCCACGUCGUUCUAUCGACAGCAUUUCUAGAAAAAUAAAGGUCCAGUCGAUCCCGCCACUACUGCGACCAAGCCACGUCAUUCUCUUGACAGCAUUCUAAAAGAAUAAGAAUUCAUAUUUAUCACAAGUCAACUGCGACCCGAGCCUUUCAAUCACCAAAUUCAAAUUCUAAAUACACAGCAGCGAUCGGCACGAAAUUCUGAGAGUUUAGGGUCCCGACGAAAUUUUUGAAUUUUAAUAAAUAAUUAAAUUUAUUCCGAAAAUUAAGUAAAUAAUAAUAUUCAUAUUUUUCAUCAUCCACGCUCAAUUUAUAAUAUCCAACCAUCAUUUCAAAAUCCGAACACACAGCAGCGAUCGGCACGAAAUUUCGGGAAUUUAGGGUCCCGACAAAAUUUUCGGAAUUUAAUAAAUAAUUAAAUUUAUUCCGAAAAUAAUUAAAUAAUCAUAUUUUAAUAAUUUCGAAUAAUGAUAUAUUAUUAAAUUAUUAAAUAAUUUCGAAAUGUUUAAAUAAAUCAAAAGUAAAUUCAUUUAUGUCACAUCAAGGCUUAUAUUAAUAUAAACCUUCAUUUAGCCUUAAAUUAAACUCACUUUAAGCUAAUUAAACACAUUAAUAUAAUCCACACUUAAAUAAAUUAAACUAACCACCUAAUCACAAUUAACAUAAACUAAGCACACCUAAAGCAUAAUUAACCCUCUAAGCGAGAUUUAGUGAGUUAAACUCACCGGAUUAGCGAGCCGAGCGGAUCAAAACGACGGGGACGCCGAGGAGAACAACUUUCCUCAAAGCGGGCCGAGCAUCCGAGCUCGGGAAGGCAGCCAAAACGGGCCAAACGUCCGCUGCAUACCCAUUUUUUUUUCCAGCUGCUGUCCAUUGCGAUUUGAGGCCAAGGAAGGGUAGAUCCGGAGCUUGGAUGAGAUGGGGAAGGAUCGGGGAAGGUUGAGGGGUCGAACCGGACCAAGGAGGGACCCGAACGGUGGCCGGAGGUGGCCGAACGGCUCCGGCACGGGUUGAUACAGCAGCUGCGACGCAAGGGCAGGCGAGUGGGAGGUGGAGACGGUG
rnacentral:lncRNA from 1 species